UUGCCAAAGUUAAACAGAUGUCAUCUUCUCUCUCCUAAAAAUUCCAUCGUUUCUCCUCUCAAGCAGAACUUUCCAAUUUGCAGCUCUGGCGGCUUCCUUUGCGUCAGAGCUAUGCUCUUCUUCUUGUAUAUCUAUUCCAUAGGCUUAUGUCAAGAUCCGUUUCGCUAAAGCUGUGUUUCCUGCCACGGUGGGUUGCUAUCUGUUUAGUUUCCAGUGUGUAUUUCAGAGAUUUCUUAGAUUAAUGACCUAAUCGAGAAGGAGAUGAGGUUUAGGGCGAGUUCUUGUCCUUGUUUUGUGAUUUUGGGUAGACCUAGAAAAAUUCGAUCUUGGAUCUGGUUUCUGCGGUUGGACACAGAAGCUCACUCAAUCUGUUCGAAUCUGGGUUUUGCUUACUGUUUGGUUAUCAUCAUUCUAUGGUGAUUGUGCAGCAUUAGCUGAGUGUGUAAUGAUUGAGAUCUUUACGGAGGAGGAGAUGCUGAUAUUCCACCGAGUUUCUUUGGAAAUGGUUUUGCUGACAACUUUAUAGCAAACGAAAACAGUGGACAUCCACCGGUAAGAGGAAUAAUAGAAAUUCAUGAUGACCGGAUGAGGUAGUGGACAUUAAUCAGGGAACUUUGGGCACAGGUGCUUCAAACGGUGUGCAGGUUCUUACUAAUCAAGAGUAUGCAACGCCAACCUUUUAGGAUUUUGAGAUAGACUUGGUGAACUACACUGAACAUGAAGGGUUAGACAAUGGGAUGAUGUUUCGGGAGGGAGUUAUAACUUAUAAGUGAUGGUCAAGCGGCUGAAAGAGAGUUAGCUGUUAAUGAUCCAGGUGUCAAAAUGUAGGGGUGAUUCUAGAUACCACGAGUCAGGAGGGCGAGAAGAAUAUGUCAAUUGAUGGCCCCCUAACCCGGUUGAAACAGUUGAUGGAGGAGGUUCUUCAACAUGGUCCAGUAAUGAAUACAUUUCACCCUAUCGGCACGGUUACGGAGAAAACUAGCAUUUAGGAUGGUUUUUGGGGAUAAACUUAUAUGUAACCGUAUAAGUAUUGUUUAGUUACCGUUAAUUAUAAUCGGAAACUGUUAGAAAAGAGUUUAGCGAGGAGUGAUUUUAUUUUGGUUUGUUAAAAUCUCUUGUAACCAUUGUUGUUAUAUAUAAUGGUCAGCUACUUUUA